CGAGGUCCUUUCUCAUCUGCAGAGAGCAGACGAGUCCGUGAUGUCGAUGUUCACUAGGGUUCGAACUCAACUUUCUGUGCACACUUAUAUUUCUGCACGAAGACGUACUUCUUUGCUUUCUUCUCUUGCUGUGUGUGUGCGAGUGUCUUACAUGAAGUCGGCUACUUCAUCAAACUCAAAGACGCGACCGCAUGCGCAUCCGAGCGCAGCGCAAGCAACGAAAAGUAUCAUCGACAAGCGUUCUCUCUGCCGACUCCGCAUCUCCACUCACCACCCCACCUUUUCAUCUCUUGCUAAGGAAGCCAUGCGGCCCCUCCCCCUUAUCCCUGCCAAUGCCGAAGCACCUCUGGCGGUGACAGGGUCAAGCACCUACAACCAAAGGGGGGUGAGGGGAGGCCAGUGCGAUUCAUUGCUGCUGAUGUCGGCUGGUCAGGUCCUGGACGGCGUGGCGUCGGAGCGACCUGCCACAGCGAACACGCCUGUGCCAAUCCACAUGAUGGGCGAAGCGUCAGCGUGGCUCGAGCGUAUCCCACCCCCGGCCGUCACACUGCCUGCUGGUGCGGGGAGCCCUGAGCGGCACCCUGAGGGGGCAGCAUUUGGGCCAGAGGCCGUUCUCCGAUGGCUGGGCCGGCGCACUGCUGUACGGGCUUGUGUCUCCGGCUGCUUCGCACCAGGUGAAAUGGACCCUGUGGCAGGGUCGGGGGCAGCAGAGUAGAGUGGUGCUCGCGGUUUAUCGCAGACUAUGAGUAUAUUAAAGUUUUUAAAAAAAUUGACGGCACGAAGUCGGCGAGGGGGGCAUUGACGCUUAUUGUUCUACGCCGCGGCAACACCUCUAAGUCUGCGCUUGACCCCAAGUCACCGUCUCUCUCUCUCCUCCUGCCCCAUUCUCCCCUCUCUGGGGAGAGACAAUGAGCGCCGAUUACGAGCGAGGCGAGUUCAGGUGUCUCUGCCACGCGAGUACACAAGUGGAUGUGUUGCCGCGGGCAGUGUGUUUUCUGAUCUCUGUGAGCAACCUCCCUCUCCUCCCUCCCCUCCACACCAAAGUGCUUUUCUACCCUGCUGCCUCCGCUGUGUACUUGAAUGAACGAGGGGGGCCUGAAAAAAGUCCUCUCAGAGCAGUGAAAAACUCGCAGAGGUGUGUGUGUGUGGGGGGGGGGAAGCGCAUGCAUACAUCCGCGAAGAGCGCGUGCAUGUGCGCUCAGGCUAGGCAUUU
rnacentral:misc_RNA from 1 species